rnacentral:rRNA from 1 species
GAUGAACGCUGGCGGCGUGCCUAAUACAUGCAAGUCGAGCGGAGAGGACAGUGAUGUGCUCUUAGUGGCGGACGGGUGAGUAACACGUGGGUAACCUGCCUCAUAGAGGGGAAUAGCCUUCCGAAAGGAAGAUUAAUACCGCAUAAGAUUGUAGUAUCGCAUGAUACAGCAAUUAAAGGAGUAAUCCGCUAUGAGAUGGACCCGCGUCGCAUUAGCUAGUUGGUGAGGUAACGGCUCACCAAGGCGACGAUGCGUAGCCGACCUGAGAGGGUGAUCGGCCACAUUGGGACUGAGACACGGCCCAGACUCCUACGGGAGGCAGCAGUGGGGAAUAUUGCACAAUGGGGGAAACCCUGAUGCAGCAACGCCGCGUGAGUGAUGACGGUCUUCGGAUUGUAAAGCUCUGUCUUCAGGGACGAUAAUGACGGUACCUGAGGAGGAAGCCACGGCUAACUACGUGCCAGCAGCCGCCGUAACAC